AUUAAAACAAAAACAAACAGUGUAUGUGAUCUUGAAGAUGCUGCGUGAAUUUG
rnacentral:guide_RNA from 1 species